GUGCCAGCAGCCGCGGUAAUACCGGCGGCCCGAGUGAUGGCCGAUAUUAUUGGGCCUAAAGCGUCCGUAGCUGGCCGAACAAGUCCGUCGGGAAAUCCACUCGCCCAACGAGUGGGCGUCCGACGGAAACUGCACAGCUUGGGACCGGAAGGCUCGAAGGGUGCGUUCGGGGUAGGAGUGAAAUCCCAUAAUCCCGCACGGACCACCGAUGGCGAAAGCACUUCGAGAAAACGGAUCCGACAGUGAGGGACGAAAGCCAGGGUCUCCAACCGGAUUAGAUACCCCAGUAGUCC
rnacentral:rRNA from 1 species